UAGGGAAUCUUCCACAGUGGGUGAAAGCCUGAUGGAGCAACGCCGCGUGUGUGAUGAAGGGUUUCAGCUCGUAAAACACUGUUGUAAGAGAAGAAUGACAUUGAGAGUAACUGUUCAAUGUGUGACGGUAUCUUACCAGAAAGGAACGGCUAAAUACGUGCCAG
rnacentral:rRNA from 1 species